CUGUGUGGAAGCUGGGAUUCCAAUGGCAGGCAGGAAAUCUUGUAGUAGCAUCUGUGAGCGUAAAUUUUUGUGGCCAUGGGAUGGACAAGAACCACAUGUUUACCUGAAGUCCUGUGACAUUUUGGUGUGCAGCAUGGGAGCUCCAAAAGUGAUGCCAGAGGAUGCUAUAGAAAAAUGCGUGCCCUCUUGUAAUACUUUGUUCAAGUUCUGAUCAGAAGGAUGAAUGAUGGAGCCCAAGAAGCCAGAGUCUCAUUGUGUUGCUCAGGCUGGAAUCCAGUGGCAUGAUCUCGGCUCAGUGCAACCUCCGCCUCCUGGGUUCAAGCAGUUCUCCUAGAUCAGCAUCAGCGUCCCGAGUAGCUGGGAUUACAGGCACCCGCCACCAUGCCUGGCUAAUGUUGGUCAGGCUGGCUCGAACUCCUGACCUCAAGAGAUCCACCUGCUUUGGCCUCCCAAAGUGCUCGGAUUACAGGCAUGAGCUGCCACACCCAGCCUCCAAAUACUUUUUUUUUAAAUCAAAAUAAUGAUUUCAAUGACUGAGAUCUGUUAUGUAUUUCAACAUAAUCAUGUUUCAUAAAGAUUUAGUCUUCUGAAA
rnacentral:lncRNA from 1 species